UUGGUGCUACACACUUGGACUAAGGAAACCAACAUACAUCCAGGUGCUGUAUUAUACGAAAUAACUUAUCGACACCGUCCUAGAUAAGUUUUCUUAAGCGUUCUUUCAACUAUUUAAACAGCAGCCGACAAUAUAUGUCGCAUAGUUAUAGUUAAUCUAUUGCAAUGUACGUCGAGUCUAGGACGUAUUUUUGAAAACAUAGAAGUUGGAUUCUAUAAAGCGCUUCGUUAAUGGAAAAUGAAAGGAUUAGUCACGGGGAAAAUUUACUAAAACAUACAUAAUUGUUCUGUGAGCAGAUAAAACCGAGAACAGUUUAUAUAGAACCGACCAUGGGAUUAUAUCUGAUGUUCGUUUUACUGAUUUGUCUUAUCAAUGGACUUGACACGGCUUCACUGACAGUGGUGGAUGUUACUUUACAGACUGAGCACACCAAUGAUAGACAUCAAUACCAUCAUAAAUUAUACUAUGCGAAUAAAAUUUGUCAUUGAUCUGUGCUCGAGACGGGAUGACAUACUGAUUGACUGGUUGAAGGAGAUAUUCGAUAAAGACGGUGACGGUUACAUAUCUUAUUUCGAGCGAAUAUACUACGACAGCAUAAUGUGAAAUGGAGAGGGUACAUGAGGUGAUCACCAAUCGAACGGCCUAUAUUAUUGAACACAACGAGAAAAUGGAGAAACAAUCUGCAUCAACAUGAUCUUCGUCGACGAGAAUACGUUUUGUCGAUGUGAAAUAUGUAUUACUUUUGUAAUUGCAACCACUUUUACGUUAUUAAGCAAUUACUCAGUAUACCAAUGGUGGGAUGAAGUAUUAAUAAUUGGUAAUAGUGCAUUUUAAAAUGUUAAUACUCAUAAGCCUCAACACUAAAAGAAUCGCAAUAAUUGCAUAGUGGACUAGAUGCAAAAGUGUUAUAUGGCAUGCACAUUACCGGGCUAAAUUGUGGCAUGGCAUAAUCCACCUGCAAUAGAUUCCAUCAGAGUUUGACCUGAUAUGAUCAUGACUGGCAUGGUUUCCAUGAUAAAGUAGUAAUUGUGUGUAAGUCUGCCAUGGCUGUUUGUAGCAGGCAUCAAUGAAAAAUGCAUUUCGAGGAAACGAGAGAAAAAAAUGAAAAAUCGAAAAAUUAAAAAUUAAAAAAUAAGCACACUAAAAUAGAUUUUCGUAAAAACCGUUUUCGUUGCACAUUAUGUAGCUCUUAAUAUGCGUUUUUCGAAUAUGUUGUUAAAUGUCUAUGACCGUUAUGUGUUGAAAUAAACAUAAUAAACAUAUGAAUCAAAAGUAUUCCCAGUGAAUUGCUCUUUUUCAUGUACACAUAUUGCUAUGAUCAGGGACCGUUUCAAUAAAGAUUUGAUUCGUAAUGUUUAAAGUUUGUAAGUGACAAAGUGUUAUUACCUUUAUAGAUAUAUGUGU